GCUGUCUCAAGACUAAGCCAUGCAUGUCUAAGUAUAAACGCUUCUAUACUGUGAAACUGCGAAUGGCUCAUUAAAUCAGUUAUAGUUUAUUUGAUGGUUCCUUACUACUUGGAUAACCGUAGUAAUUCUAGAGCUAAUACAUGCAGAAAGUCCCGACUUCUUGGAAGGGAUGUAUUUAUUAGAUCCAAAACCAGCGCGAGUUUCCUUCGGGGGCUCGGUUGCAUGGUGAUUCAUGAUAACUGCUCGAAUCGCAUGGCCUUGCGCCGGCGAUGAUCCAUUCAAAUUUCUGCCCUAUCAACUUUCGAUGGCAAGGUAGUGGCUUGCCAUGGUGACAACGGGUGACGGAGAAUUAGGGUUCGAUUCCGGAGAGGGAGCCUGAGAAACGGCUACCACAUCCAAGGAAGGCAGCAGGCGCGCAAAUUACCCAAUCCCGACUCGGGGAGGUAGUGACAAUAAAUAACAAUGCUGGGCUAUCGUAGUCUGGCAAUUGGAAUGAGUACAAUCUAAACCCCUUAACGAGGAACAAUUGGAGGGCAAGUCUGGUGCCAGCAGCCGCGGUAAUUCCAGCUCCAAUAGCGUAUAUUAAAGUUGUUGCAGUUAAAAAGCUCGUAGUUGGAUUUCGGGGCAGCCCGGCUGGUCCGUCGCGAGGCGAGUACUGGUCGGCCGCCCUUCCUCUCGAAAGCCCCGACUGCUCUUCACUGCAGUGGUCGGGGAGUUCGGGACGUUUACUUUGAAAAAAUUAGAGUGUUCAAGGCAGGCCAUCGCCUGAAUACAUUAGCAUGGAAUAAUGGAAGAGGACCUCGGUCCUAUUUUGUUGGUUUCUAGGGCCGAAGUAAUGAUUAAGAGGGACAGUUGGGGGCAUUCGUAUUUAAUUGUCAGAGGUGAAAUUCUCGGAUUUAUGAAAGACGAACAACUGCGAAAGCAUUUGCCAAGGAUGUUUUCAUUAAUCAAGAACGAAAGUUAGGGGUUCGA
rnacentral:rRNA from 6 species